rnacentral:sRNA from 1 species
CACUGCCCUUCUUGGGCGUUUCCUCCCUAAACUUCGGGCCGCCUCCCAGGCGGCCUUUUUUCUGUC